CCUACGGGCGGCAGCAGUGGGGGAUAUUGCACAAUGGGGGGAACCCUGAUGCAGCGACGCCGCGUGGGUGAAGAAGCGCCUCGGCGCGUAAAGCCCUGUCAGCAGGGAAGAAAAUGACGGUACCUGAAGAAGAAGCCCCGGCUGACUCCGUGCCAGCAGCCGCGGUAAUACGGAGGGGGCAAGCGUGAUCCGGAUUUACUGGGUGUAAGGGGGGCGCAGACGGCGAUGCAAGCCAGGAGUGAAAGCCCGGGGCCCAACGCCGGGACUGCUUUUGGAACUGCGGGGCUGGAGUGCAGGAGGGGCAGGCGGAAUUCCUGGUGUAGCGGUGAAAUGCGUAGAUAUCAGGAGGAACACCGGUGGCGAAGGCGGCCUGCUGGACUGCAACUGACGUUGAGGCCCGAAAGCGUGGGGAGCAAACAGGAUUAGAUACCCCUGUAGUC
rnacentral:rRNA from 1 species